GAUAAACGCUGGCGGCGUGCAUAACACAUGCAAGUCGAACGAUGAAACUGAGCUGAUUUCUUCGGAAUGAAAUUAAGUGGAUUAGUGGCGAACGGGUGAGUAACACGUGAGUAACCUGCCUUACACAAGGGGAUAGCCUUUGGAAACGAAGAAUAAUACCCUAUGACGUCAAAAUAUCGCAUGAUAUAGUGACCAAAGAUUUAUCGGUGUAAGAUGGACUUGCGUCUGAUUAGCUAGUUGGUGAGAUAAAAGCCCACCAAGGCGACGAUCAGUAGCCGGCUUGAGAGAGUGUACGGCCACAUUGGGACUGAGACACGGCCCAAACUCCUACGGGAGGCAGCAGUGGGGAAUUUUGCACCAUGGGGGAAACCCUGAUGCAGCGACGCCGCGUGAUUUAGAAGGCCUUCGGGUUGUAAAAAUCUUUUUUAUGGGAUGAAAAUGACAGUACCAUAAGAAUAAGGUCCGGCUAAAUACGUGCCAGCAGCCGCGGUAAUACGUAUGGACCGAGCGUUGUCCGGAAUCAUUGGGCGUAAAGGGUACGUAGGCGGCCUAGUAAGUUAGAAGUGAAAUAAUAUAGCUCAACUAUAUAAAGCUUUUAAAACUGUUAGGCUUGAGAGAUGAAAGGGAAAGUGGAAUUCCUAGUGUAGCGGUGAAAUGCGCAGAUAUUAGGAAGAAUACCGGUGGCGAAGGCGACUUUCUGGUCAUCAUCUGACGCUGAGGUACGAAAGCGUGGGUAGCAAACAGG
rnacentral:rRNA from 1 species